AGCUUGUUAGCUCAAUUGGUGAGUGUUUUGUGUGCAAAUACACAAAAAUGUGGGUUCAACUCCCACACAAGCUC
rfam:Beta vulgaris subsp. vulgaris 0741.scaffold01333.1, whole genome shotgun sequence.